rnacentral:rRNA from 1 species
AGCGAACGCUGGCGGCAGGCUUAACACAUGCAAGUCGAACGCAUCCUCCGGGAUGAGUGGCAGACGGGUGAGUAACGCGUGGGAACGUGCCCUUUGGUUCGGAAUAACCCAGGGAAACUUGGGCUAAUACCGGAUAAGCCCCUUACGGGGGAAAGAUUUAUCGCCGAAGGAUCGGCCCGCGUCCGAUUAGCUAGUUGGUGAGGUAACGGCUCACCAAGGCGACGAUCGGCAGCUGGUCUGAGAGGAUGAUCAGCCACACUGGGACUGAGACACGGCCCAGACUCCUACGGGAGGCAGCAGUGGGGAAUAUUGGACAAUGGGCGCAAGCCUGAUCCAGCCAUGCCGCGUGAGUGAUGAAGGCCUUAGGGUUGUAAAGCUCUUUCACCGGAGAAGAUAAUGACGGUAUCCGGAGAAGAAGCCCCGGCUAACUUCGUGCCAGCCGCCGCGGUAAUAC